AACAUUCAUUGCUGUCGGUGGGUUGUGUUGUUGAAGGAAAAACUCACUGAUCAAUGAAUGCAA
rnacentral:pre_miRNA from 1 species